AACGCGAAGAACCUUACCUGGUCUUGACAUCCACGGAAGUUUUCAGAGAUGAGAAUGUGCCUUCGGGAACCGUGAGACAGGUGCUGCAUGGCUGUCGUCAGCUCGUGUUGUGAAAUGUUGGGUUAAGUCCCGCAACGAGCGCAACCCUUGUCCUUUGUUGCCAGCGGUCCGGCCGGGAACUCAAAGGAGACUGCCAGUGAUAAACUGGAGGAAGGUGGGGAUGACGUCAAGUCAUCAUGGCCCUUACGACCAGGGCUACACACGUGCUACAAUGGCGCAUACAAAGAGAAGCGACCUCGCGAGAGCAAGCGGACCUCAUAAAGUGCGUCGUAGUCCGGAUUGGAGUCUGCAACUCGACUCCAUGAAGUCGGAAUCGCUAGUAAUCGUGGAUCAGAAUGCCACGGUGAAUACGUUCCCGGGCCUUGUACACACCG
rnacentral:rRNA from 1 species